rnacentral:ncRNA from 1 species
CCAAAUUUGACUCAACACGGAGAAACUUACCAGAUGCAAAUAUAAUAAGGAUUGACAUACUGCGAGUUCUUUCUUGCUUUUAUGUGUUAGGAUUGUUGGGUGG